UGAGCAAUGAGAAUGCCAUUAGACAAGAUGCUACCUGAUUUGUGCUCCAGCUAAUGUCACUCACGUCAGGAGUGUUGCCAAAUGCAAUGAGGUGCGACUGACACCAGGGAAGAUGAUGAGCAAAGAGAAUGGCAGCUGGCUGUGUUUCCUUCUUAUAGCAUUUUAAUGAAUCAAGGAGCAUCCUGAUAGAGUACAUCUGGACAUGCUAGAAGCCAGACUCUAAGAUCCGAGAACCCUAAGGCGGCUCCAUCUUCAUGACAGGGAGGAUGGGUCCUGAAUAGAGGGAUGAGGCCUGAGAAAUAUAAAAGGCAGUUGCAGUGCUAUAGAAAGAACUAUACAUUAGUGGUUAGAAAACCUGAGUUCUCUCUCACUCUGUGUUACUCAUUAGUUUUUUGACUUAGGCAAAAUGUUUGUCUUACUCGAGACUCUUUUAACAAUAAAAACACACUAGAGUUACCAACAGGGUCCCAAAGGCAGUGGAUAGGGGAUCUAGAAAGCUACUACAAGGGGCCCAUUCCUCUUUCAUUAUUGCUUCCCUUUCUUCUCUCUCUCUGACAAUCAGCUUUUUUUCCUUUACCUCCCAGUCUGCCUGGUGGAAGACAA
rnacentral:lncRNA from 10 species